AUUGAACGCUGGCGGAAUGCUUUACACAUGCAAGUCGAACGGCAGCACGGGGGCAGCCCUGGUGGCGAGUGGCGAACGGGUGAGUAAUACAUCGGAACGUGCCCGGUCGUGGGGGAUAACGUAGCGAAAGUUACGCUAAUACCGCAUACGAUCUGAGGAUGAAAGCGGGGGACCUUCGGGCCUCGCGCGAUCGGAGCGGCCGAUGUCAGAUUAGGUAGUUGGUGGGGUAAAGGCCUACCAAGCCGACGAUCUGUAGCUGGUCUGAGAGGACGACCAGCCACACUGGGACUGAGACACGGCCCAGACUCCUACGGGAGGCAGCAGUGGGGAAUUUUGGACAAUGGGCGCAAGCCUGAUCCAGCCAUUCCGCGUGCAGGACGAAGGCCUUCGGGUUGUAAACUGCUUUUGUACGGAACGAAAAGGCUCUGGCUAAUACCUGGGGCUCAUGACGGUACCGUAAGAAUAAGCACCGGCUAACUACGUGC
rnacentral:rRNA from 1 species